rnacentral:ncRNA from 1 species
GUCGAUCCUAAGAAAACGCGAAAGCUUCUCGAAUUGCGACAUGAAUUGUAAGACUGAAUAAUUAUUUGUGUGUGUGUGUGGUGAGGCGAUUGUGUCGUCAGCAGUUGUUGUUGUGUGCAGUGUCGUAUGUUUUCGAAAGGGAAUCCGGUUGAUAUUCCGGAACCGAGUAACGGAGACAAAGAGUAGCGCUUUAAUCUCUCUGUGGGGUUGGCGUUCAACUCAAUCGCGCGGUAACGCAAGCGAACUCGGAAAAUGACCGUCGUGAGUUUCGAAAAGAGUUUUCUUUUCUUUUUAAGGGACGCAUUCCCUGGAACCGGGUUGUCCGGAGAUAGGGAUUCUGGUAUCCAUAAAACGCCGACUUUUUCACGGUGUUCGGAGCGCUCUCGUCGGUACGUGAAAAUCCGAGCGACGCCUGGUAAAUCUCGUACUUGGUCGUACUGAUAUCCGCAGCAGGUCUCCAAGGUGAAUAGCCUCUGGCCGAUAGAAUAAUGUAGGUAAGGGAAGUCGGCAAAACGGAUCCGUAACUUCGGAACAAGGAUUGGCUCUAAGGGCUGGGCCGAUCGGGCUGAGGUUUCAAGCGUGCAGUGUAUGCUUGGCUUAGUUGUGUUGAGGACUUGUUCACUUGCCACCGGUUGUUCGGCUGGUCGAGUGUAUUCGAGUCUGAAGCAGAGCUGGCCGACAGACCGGCACGUGCAGAACCUGAGCUGCGCGGCUGUCCGUUUUCGUGUACAGACCGUUUCGGUCGGCAUUCAACAGCCAACUUAGAACUGGCACGGACACAAGGAAUCUGACUGUAUAAUUAAAACAAAGCAUUGCGAUGGCCGAUGAUCGAAUCCACCACA